CUAUGCUUAUUUGCAAGCAGAGACAUAAGUCCAGGCGAAGAAAUAGACUAUAAUUAUGGUGACUCGGAUUGGCCCUGGAGAUGCAAGACUGAGACCAGCCAGAUUCAGAAGACUGUGAGCUGCCUAAAGCCGCAACCAAACUGCAUUCCAAACAAUGACCUGGACCUGAAACAUCCAGAGCCUGAAAGGUUUGUUUAGGGGUCUGGCACAAAUCCUGCCUUGCAAAAUUGUCAAAUCAGAAUUGUCACCAGUCAACACAGAAAGAAGAAAUUUCUGAAUAUUCAGGGGAAGAUGGAUUGCCACAU